AAGCAGGGGAUCGUAAGACCUUGCGCUUUUAGAGCGGCCGAUGCCUGAUUAGCUAGUUGGUGGGGUAAGGGCCUACCAAGGCAACGAUCAGUAGUUGGUCUGAGAGGACGACCAGCCACACUGGGACUGAGACACGGCCCAGACUCCUACGGGAGGCAGCAGUGGGGAAUUUUGGACAAUGGGCGAAAGCCUGAUCCAGCAAUGCCGCGUGAGUGAAGAAGGCCUUCGGGUUGUAAAGCUCUUUCAGUCGAGAAGAAAAGGUUGUGACUAAUAAUCACAACUUAUGACGGUACCGACAGAAGAAGCACCGGCUAACUACGUGCCAGCAGCCGCGGUAAUACGUAGGGUGCGAGCGUUAAUCGGAAUUACUGGGCGUAAAGGGUGCGCAGGCGGCUUUGUAAGUCAGAUGUGAAAUCCCCGGGCUUAACCUGGGAAUUGCGUUUGAAACUACAAGGCUAGAGU
rnacentral:rRNA from 1 species